GAUGAAGAACGUAGCGAAAUGCGAUACGUAAUGUGAAUUGCAGAAUUCAGUGAAUCAUCGAAUCUUUGAACACAUAUUGCGCUCUCUGGUAUUCCGGAGAGCAUGCUUGUUUGAGUAUCAGUAAACACCUCAACUCCCCUUUCUUUUUUUGAAAUGGGAGCUGGACUUGAGUGAUCCCAACGCUUUUCUCACCGAAAAGUGGCGGGUUACUUGAAAUGCAGGUGCAGCUGGACUUUUCUCUGAGCUAAAAGCAUAUCUAUUUAGUCUGCCUAAAAAACAGAUUAUUACCUUUGCUGCAGCUAACAUAAAGGAGAUUAGUUCUUGUGCUGACUGAUGCAGGAUUCACAGAGACAGCUUCGGCUGGCCUUUGUAAACUCGAUCUCAAAUCAAGUAAGACUACCCGCUGAACUUAAGCAUAUCAAUAAGCGGAGGA
rnacentral:misc_RNA from 1 species